AUAAGUGCUUCCAAGCUAAACUGAAGACUAUAGAUCUUCUGUCGAUUUCUAAAACUGUAUGAGUUUGUAAAUAAGGCAUGGACUCUUAAUACUAAGCUGUUCCAUAUCAAGGGUGGAACUACCAGACCGCGUAUCUCGGUUUGCAACUUUGCAGACUUCCUGGCUCAAGUACUUUAUUUUUCAAUGGAUAACUACUCAACGUCAAUGCCUGGAAACUUCCAUGGUUUUUCUUUACUGUGCAAGAAAACUCUGUGAAACUCAAGAAAUAAUAUCGAUUGUUUUUCGUUCAAAAAAAAAUAAAAUGGGAGCAGAGAUUUUUAAACACCCCAAACAAGAUACAUGGUCAGGUAGUUUCACCGUCGAUAUGUAUGAAUUUGCAUAGCCUAUGAUUGAUUAGUAUUACUUACGGUUUCAAGAGCUCAAGGCUUCAAGCUCAGUUUAGCAUAAUAAAAGGCCUAACACGACAUUAUUAGGAAGAAGUUUUCGUGACAUAUUUGAGUGAAUCUAUCUAGCAUGAAUUUUACUUACCUUCAGAGAGAGAAUUUGGAGAGACGCUAGGAUAAAUAAAUGAAUAUGCUGACAAUUUCUGAAAGUUAACUACUAUCAGUUUGAUGCUGACACAAAAAUCCAUUGAGAUUGCGGUGGAGAGUAAAAUAAGUGAAACUAAUAUGUAAAAGAGAUAUUAUCUUAUCACUACAGACUGGUCUGUAAACAUCUUGUUAGAGAGAGAGAGAAGGAACCGGUAUAUUCUCCCUCUCUUUUUAUCGUGGUUUCAUUUCCGGUUCCCUUCGUUUCAUUUUGUUUUCAUUCCAUCUUUGGAAAAACACCGCAUUUCCGGUGUCUGCCAAGUUUAGCAAGAAAGUUUACUUUUCAGAAAGUACAAAGCGGCAACAUUGUUACAAUCACGCGAACCGAACUUCGUGCUUUUUGCUUUUUGCAAGCAUGACCGCACUCUUCAACAAUGUUAAAAAAUAUUAGACUUGUAAAACAACUUAGUGGAGUAUCCCAACGCAAAUAUGGAAGUUUCAGAAGGACCAGGCUGUUCAAAGCAUCAUCGUCAGUUUUACCUCUACCUGAUGUGGAAGUCACCUGCCAGAGUAUAUGCUGCUCUGCCACACUUAGAACAAAAACAAAUGAAGCCUUAAGCAACUCAGCUUCGCAAAAUCAAUCUACAGGGAAUCCACCGGAUCCUCCUGAUCCUCCUAUCGGUGAUAACAAAACAAAGCGAAAUGCUUUUCUAGCCGUAGGACUUAUCGUAUUAGCAGCAACUGUCUAUAAGGUAGUAUCAUAAUCUUCAAAUUAUUUGUUGCAUUAUCAAAACUUCCUUAGUUUGUAGACUUGUCCAAAAAUUGACAAUGCAAUAUAGGUAGAUCAGUUCAACUUUAUCUAACAGCUUUGAAGAUCGCAAUUGAUCAGUUGUUUUUUCACAUAAACAAGUUAGCUGUUGCUUACUCUUGAUAAUUCUUAAAAGUUGACAGCUUGCUUCAUUUGUACUAGACAGCUUUAUCACCAUCCUUUGCGUUUAAUCAUCAAGAAAUAGAUUCUAUCUUUAAAAGGAGAAUUUUGCAAAUCAUUAUUCAUUCCUCAAGUUUUGCAAAGAAAAUGAUAGUGUUAUCAGUUUAGUUUAGAAUUGAACUCUAUCGCUUAAAGAAAGAUCAUCAAGUGGUAUCUGUAAUAGUAGUAGCAAUUUAUGAUUGCAGGAAAGUCUGUCCCUUUAAUCAGUCAGAUUCUCUCUGUAGAGACAAGGUCGAACUUUCAAGCAGGUUUUAGUGUUCUAAUCUCAGAGGGCACUAUGCUUAAAAUGUGUCGUCAAAUCAGCUAUAGCACUCGAAAAUUGGUGUAACUAUGAUUUCUGUUGCAUACUCUCUCCUUUGCUCCUUGUACAAUUUCAUUCAUUAUCCUUAAUCUCCAUGCCUCCAAAAAAUUGAGGAUACUUUUCAUAAUUUAGGAUUGCCAGUCUCUUGCGGGGUUGUAAACAUAUUGACAGUAUUUUUUGUAACGGCAGUCAUAGUGGUACAGGAUCAUGAAUCAUUUAGUGAACAUUGUGAUUUUGAUCCAAUUAAGAAAUCUCUUGGCUCAAUGUCUGAUAUGAUGAAUACAAUUUCGAUUUAAAUUGCUACUUUUUUUUCACCUUGUUUUAUUUUCAACUAUUUCAGUUUCACCUUCAUCAAAAAGUAGUCCGACAGAUGUAUCUGCAGAAAACAAAAGUAAAAAGAAAAGAGGUAAGAAGUAUAUGCCGAGCUCUCAUUCUCAAUUUAGUAUCAUUUUUCUUACAAUUGUGUAGUUUCAUAAUGCUGAAGAACCUGAAAAAAAGUCACAAAUUAAUCUGACCAUGCUAAAAGUCAUCAAUACUAACUAUUUUCAUUGUUAGAUUUUGAAUUCUUUUGAAUUAUAAAAUGUAUAAAUGUAUUCUUUUUUGGCAAAUUAGCUAAAAAUCAACAAACAUGCUCAAGCUUAAAAUAAUAUGCAAUUACUUUGACAAUUGAAAUCAGUCGUAGAGUUCUCAUAAUUUUCAGUUUUUUCUUUUUUUUUCUUUCUUAUAAAAGGAGGAAACUAAUAAGAAAAACAUCCCGGAAAAAUUCGUCAGACAAACCCUUCUCUCUUUACUGCAAAAAGGAAAUGUAAGAAAAUAUAAGAAUGCUUCACCCACAGGGGGCUAUCAGUUUUACUAGCCAUCAAUAUUUUCAAAAAGACUCCCUUGCACAGUUAUUUUAACGUUAUACGCGUUUCUAGGGCCCUGCUAACUGUGCAAAUGAGUCUUUUUAAAAAUGUUGAUGAUUAAUACAAUUCUCGUGCAGUCCUUCUUAAAAAGUGUUCUCUUUAUUAGUUUUACUGUCAGAACAUGGCUUUGAGACUGUUUCUUUGGAUCUUUGGUGACAUGUUCAUUUAUGAUUACGUAACACUUGAUUUUUUCAUCAGCUGAGGCCAUUUUCAAACCUUUUCCGACUAUUUUGAUUGUUGAGUGUAGUUUAUUUAUUGAUUUUUUAUUUAAGUAGAUUAUAUUCAU
rnacentral:lncRNA from 1 species